rnacentral:lncRNA from 1 species
UGAUCUGAUGCUGAAGANGAGAGACUUGANCGGGGGUGUGUUUANCAAAGGAGGUUGUGNCGCUAGCAACUUUAGCACUNAUGUGGACAGUUUUGCCCCUUCUCUUGGUGUCUCCAAAUUCCACUUAAAAAUGUAUGAAGAGAACUUGCCUAUUUGGAUCCAUGUCCUCAAGCUCUUCUUGGAGUCUUCUAACCAUGCUUCUAGUAAUGGGUUCAUGACCCAAGUCAUCAUCCCCUCCCCCUUGGAAAGGAUUUGCCCUCAAAUAUGAUAGUUUGCUUCAGGA